rnacentral:rRNA from 1 species
AUUGAACGCUGGCGGCAUGCUUUACACAUGCAAGUCGAACGGCAAGGCGGGCUUCUGCUUGGCUGCGAGUGGCGAACGGGGGAGUAAUACAUCGGAACGAGCCCACCUGGGGGGGAGAGCACGGCGAGAGCCGGAUUAAUACCGCAUACGACCUGAUGGUGAAAGCGGGGGACCGAAAGGCCUCGCGCUAUUGGAGCGGUCGAAGACGGACUAGCUAGGUGGUGGGGUAAAGGCUUGCCAAGGCGACGAUCCGUAGCUGGUCUGAGAGGACGACCGGCCACACUGGAACGGGGACACGGCCCAGACUCCUACGGGAGGCAGCAGUGGGGAAUUUUGGACAAUGGGGGCAACCCUGAUCCAGCCAGGCCGCGUGCGGGAAGAAGGCCUUCGGGUUGUAAACCGCUUUUGUUCGGGAAGAAAUGCUUUGGGCUAAUACCCCGGGGGGAUGACGGUACCGGAAGAAUAAGCACCGGCUAACUACGUG